rnacentral:rRNA from 1 species
GCACUGUUAUUGCUAGGGGGUCAUCGCGACUUACCAAACCAUGGCAAACUCUGAAUACCGCAAAGUGCGAGCAUGGCAGACAGACAGUGGGUGCUAACGUCCAUUGUCGAGAGGGAAACAACCCAGACCGCCAGCUAAGGUCCCCAAGACACAGUUAAGUGGGAAACGAAGUGGGAAGGCAUAGACAGCUAGGAGGUUGGCUUAGAAGCAGCCAUCCUUUAAAGAAAGCGUAAUAGCUCACUAGUCGAGUCGUCCUGCGCGGAAGAUGUAACGGGGCUCAAACUGUGCACCGAAGCUGCGGAUAUCGAAAGAUAUGGUAGGGGAGCGUUCUGUAGGUCUGUGAAGGUGUCUUGUAAAGGAUGCUGGAGAUAUCAGAAGUGCGAAUGCUGACAUGAGUAGCGAUAAAGGGCGUGAAAAGCGCCCUCGCCGAAAGCCCAAGGUUUCCUACGCAACGUUCAUCGGCGUAGGGUGAGUCGGCUCCUAAGGCGAGGCAGAAAUGCGUAGUCGAUGGGAAACAGGUCAAUAUUCCUGUACCGAUUCUAGAUGCGAUGUGGGGACGGAGAAGGUUAGGUCAGCCGGGUGUUGGACGUCCCGGUUUAAGCGUGUAGGCGUGCCCCUUAGGCAAAUCCGGGGGGCUAAGCUGAGGCGUGAUGACGAGGAACCACGGUUCCGAAGUGAUUGAUACCAAGCUUCCAGGAAAAGCCACUAAGCUUCAGUCUAGAGUUGACCGUACCGCAAACCGACACAGGUGGGCAGGAUGAAAAUUCUAAGGCGCUUGAGAGAACUCAGGAGAAGGAACUCGGCAAAUUAACACCGUAACUUCGGGAGAAGGUGUGCCCCGGUAGCGUGUAGAGACUUGCUCUCGAAGCGCGAUGGGGUUGCAGUGAAAUGGUGGCUGCGACUGUUUAAUAAAAACACAGCACUCUGCAAACACGAAAGUGGACGUAUAGGGUGUGACGCCUGCCCGGUGCCGGAAGGUUAAGUGAUGGGGUGCAAGCUCUUGAUCGAAGCCCCGGUAAACGGCGGCCGUAACUAUAACGGUCCUAAGGUAGCGAAAUUCCUUGUCGGGUAAGUUCCGACCUGCACGAAUGGCGUAACGAUGGCCACACUGUCUCCUCCUGGGACUCAGCGAAGUUGAAAUGUUUGUGAAGAUGCAAUCUACCCGCGGCUAGACGGAAAGACCCCAUGAACCUUUACUGUAGCUUUGCAUUGGACUUUGAACCU